UACGUAGGGUGCGAGCGUUAAUCGGAAUUGCUGGGCGUAAAGCGUGCGCAGGCGGUUUUGUAAGACAGAGGUGAAAUCCCCGGGCUUAACCUGGGAACUGCCUUUGUGACUGCAAGGCUUGAGUGUGGCAGAGGGGGAUGGAAUUCCGGGUGUAGCAGUGAAAUGCGUAGAUAUGCGGAGGAAUACCGAUGGCGAAGGCAAUUCCCUGGGCCUUCACUGACGCUCAUGCCCGAAAGCGUGGGGAGCAAACAGG
rnacentral:rRNA from 1 species